GUGUCAGGGGCAGCUGCUGGAAGGAGGCGCAAGCACCACGGAGAGUCUGGGAUGCCCAGCCAAGGAGCCCUGGAAGGGUUGCCCUGGGGACUGACACUGUGGGCUCUGUGUUUUAGCCAAGUCACCCAGGCAGCUGAACAGAAGAUGGACUGGAGGGAGAAGCCUGGAUGUAGGAUCGCUCAGCAACAAAGGAGCCAGAAAAGGCAAGGUGUACGCACCGUGUGCAGCAUGGGCAAGCUGCAGGCAUGCAGGUAAGAGUGUGUGCAUGCAGGUGUGUGCACACGAGUUUGCAUGCGCUGAUGCGGAUGGCUAUGAUGCGUGGUGGUGAUAUAUACAUGCGGAUGCUUAUGGAUCUGUGCCAACCAUUAUUAAGCACAUAUGUAUACCCGUGUGUGUAUAUGCAUGCAUGUGUUUGUGUGAGUCGCAAUGUGUAUACAACUUUACACAAUAAGUGAAUUGAGUACAUGUACUUGUUUAUCCACAGAAGUGUAUGAUGACUGGACACGUAAAUAUGUGUAUUUGCGUGUGUUUAUACUUUGUGCAUAGAUGCAUGUUUG
rnacentral:lncRNA from 1 species